CACCGUAUGCAAAAUUUAAUUUUCUCAUCUUGAUUGCCUUCUCAUGGAUCUCUAGGGUUUUUCAGCGAAUCUCACUGCCCCGCCGCCUUGUUCAUCGUCUUCCAAGGGGCGCCGUCUGUGGCUUGAGGCGUUCCUCGCCGACUUUGAUCGCUCUUUGGGAUCAUCUUGUUUGUGGCAUCUUCCUAGAUCUCCGAUUGCAUCUGAGUUAUUUGUUUGGGUCGUUUGAUGGACUUCGAGCAACCAGAUCGGUACAGAAACAGGAGGGGCUACCAGCGGGCGGGGCCGUCUCAGGUUCCAGACAGAAGCAACAAGGUAUGCUUCCACUGGCAGGCGGGGCGAUGCAGCCGUCACCCGUGUCCCUUUCUCCAUAGCAACCCGCCGCAGACCGUGCUCGCCGAUGGCGCUGCCAAGCGGGGGCACUUGCAAGGCCACGUGCCUAGAAAUAUUGCCUCUGCGGGUGCGCCGCCCUCCAAGUGGGGUAAGGGUCGAGCGGGUGGCAAGGCUCCCGACAAAAUCUGCAAUUACUUCCUCGCUGGAAAUUGUAGUUUCGGAGAUAAGUGUAGGUUCCUGCAUUCGUGGUUCAUGAGCAAUAGCUUCUCUCUCUUGACCCAACUCCAGGGGCAUCAAAAGGUAGUGACUGGUAUCGCUUUGCCUUCAGGGUCUGAUAAACUCUACUCUUGUAGCAAGGAUGAGUCUGUUCGUGUUUGGGAUACUCAAACUGGGAAGUGUGUUAGAGCCAUCAAUAUGGGAGGUGAGGUUGGAUGUAUGACCAGUGAAGGUCCUUGGUUAUUUAUUGGAGUUAUGAAUGUUGUCAAGGCAUGGAACACACAAACAACAACAGAACAAGGCCUUGAUGGCCUUGUCGGACAAGUUUACGCUUUGACCGUUGGUAAUGGUAUGCUAUUUGCUGGAACACAGGAUGCACGAAUAUUGGUGUGGAAAUUUAGUGCUGCUGGGAAUGUCUUUGAAACUUAUAAACCCUUGCACACAGGGAUACUUAUAUUAUGCUUUCUGUUAUCCGUGACAGUAUAGUUUAAUUAAAAAUUGUACUCAUUGGAAUCUUUCAAAAGAUUUUGUGAGUAGAGUUACGUAAUUUUUCUCCAAGAAGCAAUCACUUCCCCUCCUGUAGUUACCUAGCAGUCAUUUUAAAUAAUCGUAUGAUUUUAGUCUAACUUUAAACUUAAUUGAAAUUGAAAUGCAUUAUCUGGGAUUUUAUUCUCACAUGAGAUAAUUGCAUAAAUUUGUGUAGUCUAAUUCAAUUGUGUUAGGCAUCUAACAUUGUUUCCAUAGUCAAGCUAACUAAUACACCAAUAUCCAGUUAUCUGUGUGCUAUUCAUAUCAUGGCCAGUUAAACCAUUAUUUAAAUCUAUGUUUUAGAUUGUUUUUCAUACUAGCAUGCUGUAUCACUCUUUGCUUAUUCCUUUGCUGUAGUAUCAACUUGAAAUAUGAGAAUAAUCUUUAAGCUCAAUCACAAUUCAAGAUUUAUUAGCAUUUUGAAGAAGAUGGUGUUUCAACAUUGCUCUAAAAGGAAAGUGAAAGUGAGGAUGAUGGUCUUGACAUGGGUGAUGAUGAUGAUGUUGAGGAACCUGAAAAUGAACCAGAGGUUGUUAUGAAAGAACCAACCAUUUAGAAACCUGCUCCUGUUUCAGCACCACCCAAAGAUGCUGAAAGGCAACUGUCAAAGAAGGAGCUUAAGAAAAAGGAAAUGGCAGAGCUGGAUGCACUUCUAUAUGAAAUGGGCAUUGCAAAUUUUAAUUAGUUUAUUUUUGAUAGAUAGUAAAUUUUAAUUCACUUGAGUUGCUUCAUACAUAUGAAGCGACUAUUUAAUGUGUGUUGAAUUUGUUUAUCCUUGUUAUGCAGACAAGAAGCAAUUGGAGCAAAGUAGUGAAGGGGAGAAGAAAGAAAGUGCUGGUGCUCCUUCAGAGAAUAGAAUCUUAAAGAAGAAGAAAUCCAAGAAAGAAAAAUCAUCAAAGGAACAGGAGGAGCAUGAUCAGAAUCAGGAGAAAGGAGACAUUGAAGCUGAAGUGGCAGAUGCAUCUGCAGUUGACGUAAAGGAAAGGAUAAAGAAGGUGGCCUCCAUGAGGUAGAAGAAAUCAAGCAAAGAGAUGGAUGCCGAACAGUUGAAUAAAAGGGCUUCUUACUUAAGUAGUAGGCUAAUUGGUACCUCAACUAGUCAAUUAGUGGAUACGGACUUGAUGUGUAUAAUAUUUAUAUGGAUACGAACUUGAUGUGUAUAAUAUUUAUGUGUUGGUUA